ensembl:lncRNA
GUAGCAACUCACCCUGCACUUUAGGGGGAGGGAUCAUUGCCCGCCCCAGAUCGCUAGACCCCUGGAAAUGUCGCCACCUGAGAUUCCAUGAGGCUCCUUGCCCUCCCUUGGGCACACAGGCCUGGACAGGACAUCUGGUGUGCUUAGCACUUCCCGGAGACCUGAUCCGAUGAGGACAAUACCGUACAGCUGAGGUUUGGCGGGACAUCAGUAUGACCGAGGCCCCUGGGACCCUGUGACAGAAGCUGGGGGUUAGCGCCAUCGUGGGAAGAUCACCAGGAUGUCCUGACACCCCUGCCAGGUAGAGGCACGCUGGUUCCGGUCCUCACCCUAUGGACUGCUUUAUCUCUCCUGCUCCACAGAUCAGGGAGCCAGAAAGGAGACCAGGCCAGUGGCCAAGUGAGCUGACCUCAGUCCAUGCAGAAGUGGGGAAAUGCCCCAGGACUGGUCCCCGCUGAGACAGACUUGCACCGAACUCCUUUGUCACUUACCUCCGUCAGCCUCCACUCUGACUCGGUGGCCCUUGGAAGCCCCAGGGGUUGGUGUCAAUUCAGAGCCGGUGGUGACAAUGCCCGGAGGGUGUGGCUGUUUCCUCCUCCUCACAGUCCCCCCUGGGUGGCCACAGUCCCCUGGGGAAGGCUUGGAGAAAGACUGACAGUAGACACGUGUGACCUGCAGUGGCACCCUUCCUCAGAGGGACCCAGCCUCCCCUCCCAUUAAGGGGCUUGGGGUCCGGGACCUGGCUCGGGCUGGGAACUGGGUGAGGGUCUUGGAUUCCCAGUCUGGUGACUGGAGUCGGCGUUCUGCUUUGACUAACCAAUCGAGCAAGCUGUUGGGGCUGCUCCCUGCUGCUCUGUUGCGGCAUCAACUCCAGAUCCUGCCUGAGGGCACCCCCCUGGGCAAAUGCAGCCCCCCAGUCUGGUGUUCCACCCGCCUGGCUCCUACCCCUGCAGACUCUGUUUUCACAGACAGAACGAUUCUGCAGGUUCCUGCCGAUACAGGUUAGCAAGCCCUGUUAUCUCCCCCAGGAGCACAUUUGAAUUGUCCCCUUGGCCGUGCAGCUGGCCUGGAAGCGACGACAGUGACAGUGGUUAGCCUGGAAAGCCAGGGUCCUCUUACAAGGGGACUGUCCCAGGUGGCGUUAUUCAAAGAUGGUCGCAUUUUCUCCAUCGAGGCAGCUCUUUCUUCUGGCAAAGGAGGCUAGGUGGGGAUAUGGGAGUUCAAGUUCCUUCAUGUGUGUCUGCACGUAUGUCCCCAUUUCUUCCCACCCAGUCCCCCCAAACUCUGCCUGAAGACUUGCUGAGGGCUGGCCUCUAACGUGCUCAGCAGCUCUGCAGCCUCACGACCCCGUCCGAGGCCAAGUCCUAGCCACGUCUUCCCUGGGGUUCAUGAGCUGAGGGACUCUUCCAGGACCACCAUAGUGCAGCCAGAAACCACCACACCACUGCAUCAUCUUUGUCGUCACCGUGGCACCGAGGCCAACUGCACUGGUCUCUCUACCUUGCCCCUCACUGGUUCUCUGCCCGCCUCUGGUGAUGACCUGAGUAGCUGUGGGCACCACAUGCCAUGGGGUCUCGGUGCCCCACGGUCCCCUCAUGGAGUCAGUGGGUUCUCACCAGCCCCAAGUUGCAUUUGGAAGGUCUGUUUCCUGGGGCCACUCCAGUGGCCAGUGCUGGGUCAGUCAGGAAGCCGGCUUCAGCCCAGCCAGUGCCAAUGCAGAAAUGGGACAGAAGGCACUGGUUGCAGAGGUGUGGGCAUGCCUCGGGGAGCAAAGGAGGGGUGGUGAGAUGGCGAGGCACCCAGAGGCCCUCCAAAGCAGAAGGCCAUUCCCAUCUUUCGAGCUGAAAGGACAGAGGUAGCGGAGAAUGUUUCCAGAGCCCAUGAAGAGCUGGGCCGUGCAGGAGGGCUGCCCGGGGGACUGUCGUCAACAUGGCAGGUGUGGCUGCUGCCAGAGACGUGGCACUAAAGCUGGGAGGGAGCUGGAGAAGCACUCAGCCGCCUAGGAAUCCCCUGCCCCAGGCAUGGGCUGAACCCAGCCAGAAGUCAGCUGGCGUGGGAGCCCACAUUGGUGCUGUCCCAAGCCGUCAGCCUCCUGGGGCACAGAGCAGGCAGAGGCUCCAAGGGCAGCAGCGAGGGGUUAAAGGGGGACCAGGAAAUGAGACCCCCCAGGUGGUCAGGCCGGUUGGAGGAUGCCAUCUUGGUGAAGAGCUUGAAGCCAGGAACUACUGGUGGGUCCAAGACAUGCAGCUGCCCCCUGGGGGUCUCAGCAAUGGAAGGGUUCAGCUGAAGCUGAGCAUUGUCCCGAGACAACCAUGGCCUCUGCUUCUGUAGGGACAUCAAAUUGUAGGGGCAACAAGACCAGCCAGAGCAGGAGCAGGGACAGGUCCACACAGCGUUGAUCCUUGCCUCCCCACCUCUCCUCCAUGCCCCCAACCGCGGAGGGCCAAGACCCAGGGAGGGAGGUCGAGGCUUGUCCCAGAGGGAGAUCCAUUCCUCUCCUUCUUGGCCCCACGUGCUGGAGCUAAUGAGUGAAUGAGACCCCACUGCCACCCCAAGUUAGACCCCUUGCGUCACAGGUGUGGCCAGAAGUGAGGGAUUAGCAGCGGAUGGGGGCUUAAGUUGGGUAUUUUAAACUGACUGGGCUGUGUUGAUACCUGAACGUUGUGGACCCUGCCUGAGCCUGAGAUGUAGUUACAGGAUGAAAAGGGGGCAUUGGACAGAGCACGAUGGGGUGCCUCAAAAGAAUAGGUCCAGGUGGGUGAUUGGAAAGAUUGAGGAUAGAAGGAUGGACGGAUGGAUGAUGGAAGGAUGGAUGGACAGAAGGAUGUUUGGAUGAUUGGAUGGAUCAAGAUUGAGUGGAUGGGGAUAAGGAUGGAUGAAUAGAUGGAUAUGUGGAUGGGGAUAAGGAUGGAUGCUGAGCGUGCCCCCCACGCCCCCUCCACCCCCUGUGUUGAGAGAGCCUGAGCACCUGGACGAAAGGGGCCUUUCCUUGCAGACACUGGGUUCCAUCCUGGGGAGCUGCGGAGCGAGAGUAUGGGGCUGGCCACUGUGGGGCUGGGGGAUGACUUGGGACCCCCGCCCAACUGUCCUAGUCUGCACAGCUUUCCAGAUGGACUAAACCCUUCACCCAGUAGCCCUCAUUUGGGAACUUUAAAGCGCUCAGUUUACCUCGCAGGGCCUGGGAGAGCCAUGGCCCACUCUCCUAGGGGCAGUGCCCACCCCACCUGAGCGCUCUCUGCACCCCAGGGCGUUCUCAGGAUCCUGGGCAGCUCUUACCAUCCCGGGAGCACUCUCAGCAUCCCCGGAGCUCUCAGCAACCUGAGGGGGUGCUCUUAGCAUCCCAGGGGCACUCUCAGCAUCCCAGGGGCACUUUCAGCAUCCCAGGGCACUCUCAGCGUCCCGGGGGCACUCUCAGCAUCCCCGGAGCUCUCAGCGUCCUGAGGAGGCACUCUCAGCAUCCCAGGGCACUCUCAGCGUCUCGGGGGCACUCUCAGCAUCCCAGGACACUCUCAGCGUCCGGAGGGCACUCCACGAGGCCGGCCAGCCUGGUUCCCGCGACCAGCGCGCCACCUGGCGGCGUCACCUCGCAAUAGCGCCCGCUCCGGGCUCCCCUCCUCCCGGGCUGCGCUGAGGGGCUUCUCCGUGGAAACCCCCACCGCCCUCGGAGCGCGGAAGCGAAGGAAAAUGCAGCCCUUUGACCACAGCUGACGCCGGUGGAAUCUGGGUCCCCGCCCUGCCGCGGGGUCUGGGGGAGCAGGCUCAGGCGGCGGUAGACCUGGGGCGCCCCUCUCCAUCCGCGCUGGGCAAGAGGGCCCCCCCCCCCCGAGAGCGCAGCGAGGGUCUGCGGGGGCGGGGGGCGCUCGGGGGGCGCUGGGAGG